UGGAGAGGCAUAUUAGAGCUCAGUGAGAGCCCAUAACAUUAUACAGCAGUGUCGUCUUGAUUUAAUUGGGAGUUGAGCAACUUUUCCAUAAACAAAAUUCUGAUGCUGACAUAGAGGAUGGAGUGAUAAUACCAGAGAUCAACUGUCUCCAUCAGACAAUAAUGUUACUUUGUUCAGACAUAUCACCUUUGAAUGACUGGGAUCCUGAUCUUCAGACACCUGAUGUAUUUUAUUUUAAUAUUAUAAAAUAGCAAAUAUUUUAAUUUCUUUGGAGCUCUAGAUUAAAACAAACACAGU